AGUGAUCAGAGCCUCGGACCCUCAGAUGAGGGUCUGGCUCACCUCAACAAGUAAGCCAUCCAAACUCGCUGGGGUUCUGGUGAAGGACACGGGGAAUCUGGACUGGGAAAGAGAAGGAGACACUAUCAGUUAUGGCUUCAAGACCAGCGGCAGCAGUGGAAGCUGUAAGUCAUUCUACUAAUCUUCCCUUUGUAAGUUUUCCCUAAGAAAAGAUCCUUGUGGGAUCUUGGAGGAGCUGCUGCCCAAAUGUACAAGAAGAAAUUGAUCCAUGCUGCUCAAGUGUGGAUUGUGCACUGCACAAAUGAGAUCUCCUCGGGACGGAAGCCGGCAGCCCUCUCUGAGGGUCACUCUCAGCCUAAGAGAGCCACCCUGCAUCCCCGGUCACCUUCCCCAUGGGGGUCAGCCUGCACCCAGUGCCUGGAUGAGGCUUCAUUGUAAUUGUAUCUCAGCCCGGCUUCUUUACCUAAUCCUGAUCCCUUCUCUUCCCCCAUAAGUACUGAAUCUGAAGAGCUCCCUUGCACACAAAUUUCCAUUUCAGAGCCUGGUUUUGGGAGAACCUCACCUAUAACAUGUUCCCCACACAAAAGAUACAAAAAUUUUCCUGUAUUUUUUUUUCUUUCGUAGUUAUUUUUCCCUCUAUGUUUAACUCUUCAGGAUUUCAGCCAUCUGUAAUUUAUUUUGUGGCACCUAGUGUGUGUGUGUGUGUGUGUGUACAUCUAAUAUCUAUAAUUUAUUUCAGGUAGGCACCUAAAUUUUUACUCUGCUAAGGAAAGCCAGUUAUCCCAAAAUACCAUCUUUUCCCCCAUUGCUUUGAAAUGCCAAUAUGAUUAUGUACUAAAUUCUCAAUAUUUGGGGGUCUUUUUCUUGAAUCUACUCUGUUCUAUUGAUGUUUGGGGCUAUUCAUGUGCCAAAACCGUAUUUCAAAAAUUACAGUAGAUCUCUGCUCUGCACAGGACAAAGAAUCCCUUACAACAUGUUCAUGGCAAUCUUUGCUCAUUCACUUUCAGGCAAAUGCUAGAAACAGUUUAUCAAAUCCCUUGAAACAUCCUGUUAGGAUUUUGAUGGAAUUUGCACAGAAUUCAUAUUGAUUAAUUUGGGGGUAAUUAUACCUUGACAACAUCACUCUGGAAUACAUCUAUUUAUUCAGGUCCUCAUUUAUGUAUUUCACUAAUAUUUUUUAAAUUUUUUUAAAUGUUUAUUUAUUUUUGAGAGACAGAGAGAGACAGAGCGUGAGUGGAGGAGGGGCAGAGAGCGAGGGAGACCCAGAAUCCGAAGCAGGCUCCAGGCUCUGAGCCAUCACCACAGAGCCUGACGCAGGGCUCGAACUCAUCAACUGCAACAUCAUGACCUGAGCCAAAGUCGGACGCUCAACCGACUGAGCCACCCAGGCGCCCCUAUUUCACUAAUAUAUUUUUCUUAAGGUUUAUUUAUUUUUGAGAGAGAGAGAGAGAGAGCACAAGAGGGGAAGGGACAGAGACAGAGAGGGAGAGAAUUCAAAGCAGGGUUCCUGCUGACAGCAGCAAGCUGGAUGUGGGGCUCCAACUUACGAACCGUGGGAUCAGUUGGACGCUCAACCAACUAAGCCACCCAAGUGUCCCUAUUUCACUAAUACAGGUGUUUCUUAUGUAAGUCUUGCACAUAUCAUGUUAUGUUUAUUGCUCUGUAUUUUAAAGAGUUCUUUGUGCUUACCGGGAAUGGGAUGAUUUUUCCUUUCCUUUAUGAUUUUUAUUUGGCUGGGGAAACAAACAGGUAAACAAAUAUAGAAAUAAGAUAAUUUUUACAAGUUACAUGAGCUACAAAAGAAACAACUCAAGGCAAUGUGAUUCAGUGUGUAGUUGUUGGGGGUAGAGUUACUUUAUUUUUUUUUUUAAUUUUAUUUUUUAUUUUUUAAAAAUUUACAGCCAAGUUAGUUAGCAUAUAGUGCAACAAUAAUUUCAGGAGUAGAUUCCUUAAAGCCCUUUACCCAUUUAGCCCAUCCCCCCUCCCACAACCUCUCCAGUAACCCUCAGUUUGUUCUCCCUAUUUUAUGAGUCUCUUCUGUUUUGUCCCCCUCCCUGUUUUUAUUUUUUGUUUCCCUUCCCUUAUGUUCAUCUGUUUUGUCUCUGAAAGGCCUCCUAUGAGUGAAGUCAUAUGAUAUUUGUCUUUCUCUGACUAAUUUCACUUAGCAGAAUACCCUCCAGUUUCCAUCCACGUAGUUGCAAAUGGCAGGGAUUUUUAAAGUGUAUUUCUGUGUUGUUGUUGAUAGUAUAAAAGAAAACAAUGAUUUUGAUCAUGUAUAUGGAUUUUAUUAAACUUUUUCAUUAUUCCUAGUAGUUUCACAGUAUAGUAUACCUCGCAUUUUGUGGUAAUUAUCUAUAAAUAACAGUUUUGUCUUUUCUUUCCCAGUAUUAAGUCUGCCUGUUUCUUCUUCUUCUUCUUCUUCUUCUUCUUCUUCUUCUUCUUCUUUGUCUUCUUACAUUGGCAGAAAUUUGUGAUGCAAUUUUAAAUGGUAGCAGUGAUAGCAAUAUCCUUGAGUUUUCCCAGCAUUAGAGAGCACGUUAACUGCUGUGCACGAUGUUGGAGGUCUGAUGUAGGUCUUUCUGGUAGAUACUCUUUAUUGAGUUAAGAAUCAAAAUGCCAGAAAAUAAAUAUACAUUGAAAUAUAUGAUAAUUCUAAUUAAAUACACACACACACACACACACACACACAUCUUGGUUGCCAUAUAUAUAUAUAUAUGGCAGUUGCUAUCCCAGUUGCUAUCUCUUUUUCGUUGCUUGAUGCAAUUAAGAGAGACUUUGGUUUUAAAAUUUUUUUUCUUUGCACACGUUGUUUCAAAAAAUGAGAGGAAAAGGUCCUAAUCUUUUUAAACGGUAAGAAUUUAGUGCAGCAGUCUAUGCCAAGUGGGAAACUGGAUCAAGGAUCCUUUUGAACAGACUAGUAGGCAAACAAUUGGAGUUGGGAAAACUAAUGACUAAACUGGAAGGUUCCUUAUUGUAACUACUCCCUCUUCUGGUCAGGGUGGCUUAGGGCUUAAGCGCCAAUGGGAAACAUACCAGAGGUCAACCUCUCAGAGCCAAGUUCUGACUGGUGAAGGAGGACUGUCAGCAACGUCUCUGAGAGGAGGGUGAGGGGCUGUCCAUGUUCAUUCUUCCGUGAGGGAAGAACCUACAAACUUAAAAGUGAUGGGCACCCACGGUAGCUAUCUGGAAGACGAGAGUCCUGUUGUGAGCCCCCGGAAGCCUGACCUACAUCUUGGGAAGGAUCCCAGGAGCUAUAUCAGAUAAGUGGGCUCCAAAAAUAAAGGGUGCUUGGGAAAAGAAAACAAAAUUCAGAAAGUGAUGGCCAGCAUCCAGUGUCAAACUGUAGAGGUGAAUCUCGGGCAUAAUGUGAUCAGGAGCUGAGACUAUUAAGAGAAACAGGUGAGAAAGUUAGUGCAAGAUUAAAGUGAAUUUUUUAUGAACUUGGGGCCAUUUAUUUCAGUUAAAGUGAAUUCUUAGUGAACUUCAGGCCGGGUGCGCAAAGCAAAAAGGUAGGGUUUUCGAGGGCUUUCUUAAAAAUUUCUAUUUUGAAAUAACUUUAAAUUUGGAAAAAAGUUACAAAAAUUACAGAGAGUUCUUGUAUAUCCUUCAGCCCACUACUUCCAAUGUUACCAUCUUACAGAACCAAAGCUGAAUUAUCGAAACCGGUUUGUUUGGUUUUUAAUUCCACGCUGGCUGUGUAUUGAGAGCUGUGGCCAGCUGCCUCUUACCUUUGCCCAGGACAGAGCAGACAGUACGUGAGUCCCAAGAACAUGUAGUGUAGUGUAGAACAUUAGACCAAAUGAGAGCAAGGGCCUGAUCUCAAGUGAUUUUUUUCCUGAUGAAAAUUUUAUUACAGAAAAGAAAACUCUGUAGUUGUCUAUUCCAGACUAUGGAAGUGAGAUAAAAGAUGAAGGCAAAA